UACGUAGGUGGCAAGCGUUAUCCGGAUUUACUGGGUGUAAAGGGCGUGUAGGCGGGACUGCAAGUCAGAUGUGAAAACCACGGGCUCAACCUGUGGCCUGCAUUUGAAACUGUAGUUCUUGAGUACUGGAGAGGCAGACGGAAUUCCUAGUGUAGCGGUGAAAUGCGUAGAUAUUAGGAGGAACACCAGUGGCGAAGGCGGUCUGCUGGACAGCAACUGAUGCUGAGGCGCGAAAGCGUGGGGAGCAAACAGG
rnacentral:rRNA from 1 species